UACGUAGGGGGCAAGCGUUGUCCGGAAUCAUUGGGCGUAAAGAGCGUGUAGGCGGCCCGAUAAGUCCGCCGUGAAAGUCCAGGGCUCAACCCUGGAAUGCCGGUGGAAACUGUCGGGCUGGAGUCCGGAAGAGGCGAGUGGAAUUCCUGGUGUCAGCGGUGAAAUGCGCAGAUAUCAGGAGGAACACCGAUGGCGAAGGGCAGGUCUCUGGGCCGAUACUGACGCUGAGGAGCGAAAGCGUGGGGAGCGAACAGG
rnacentral:rRNA from 1 species